UAUACCUCUGGUGAGUUCGGUGUAGUCGCGUUGAUAUGAUCCUGUAAACAAAUUCGGAGAUCCCGCUCGUCCAGUUCGCUCUCAGUGUCAACACUGAAGCUUCUCACAUUUUGACUACCAUGACCUGUCCAACGUUGCUUCCAGCUUUCUAGCCUCAUGACCUGUGACACACAUACGAGAUGGGUAAAGACUUACUCGAGCCAGCGCCAAGGCUCAGUCUCCGGGCUGGUGAUUGGCGUAGGGAACUAAGGAGACAGAGAUAACACAGCAAUAGAGGGCUGUAAAACAACUGUAUACAUAUCCUGUGAACAAAUGUACGUGAGUCAUAUGAAUAUGGUGGAAUGGAAAUAGAAAAUCAAGAUCCUAUAUCGAGCCAUCAAUCAGAUUUACUGCUAAUUCCAAGUGUACAAAGUCUUCGUAAUUACGUUAAUCUACAAGCCUCGAAAUGUACUAACUUGCAGCCAAAGAGCAAAUUCAAUAAUACUUAGAUUUUAAGCUAUUGUGAUAUAAUCAUAAAUCUACGUUUUCAUGAUCUACCGCAAUUACUUCUAGCGUCAAUACUGAUAACGUAAUACUUUAAUCAGGUUAUCCUGUAAAUAAUGUGAAUUUUCCUUAUCGCUAUCUCAUGGUAAAUUCGCAUUACUUACGGAGCGAUUAAUCAUCAUUAACUCGAUGAGUAUCACCAACCAUUAAAAACACCUGAGAAAAUAAUGAUACUUGUGCAUAAUUGAAAGCAUUCUUUGCAUCGAAUAAAUAUCUCUUAUUCCAUAAAUUUGUUCAACUUCGAAUCAUGUGACUGAGAAAGUUGUAGAAGUAUAAAGUACCUGCACGAAUGUAAGAGAAAAGAAACUUUCUUAUAAAUAAGAGUUCGUUUACUUUUCAGUAUAA